UACGUAGGGUCCGAGCGUUGUCCGGAAUUAUUGGGCGUAAAGAGCUCGUAGGCGGUUUGUCGCGUCUGCUGUGAAAUCCCGAGGCUCAACCUCGGGCCUGCAGUGGGUACGGGCAGACUGGAGUGCGGUAGGGGAGAAUGGAAUUCCUGGUGUAGCGGUGGAAUGCGCAGAUAUCAGGAGGAACACCGGAGUGGAAGGCGGGUCUCUGGGCAGUAACUGACGCUGAGGAGCGAAAGCGUGGGGAGCGAACAGG
rnacentral:rRNA from 1 species